UAUCCAGUCUAAAGUAAUAUAUAAGAUACACAGUAACGUGUGUCAGAGACGAGAGACAUAAUAUCUCUCAUAUAGAUUCGAUUCAACUUAACUCUGUUUUUCUUUUUUCCGAUAUUCAGUUCCAGUCUCCGUUCAAAGCUCUGUGGUUCUGGUCGAUAAAUCCAAAUAAGUUUCGCGAAUUACCGGCAGUUUCUCUCAAUCGUUUAAAGAUCUAGUUCUAAAUCGAUUAGGGUGUGGGUUUGCGGUAGAGG